CUGGGCAGCGUGGGCCCCGUGGACCUGCUGGUGAACAACGCCGCUGUCGCCCUGCUGCAGCCCUUCCUGGAGGUCACCAGGAUGCCUUUGACAGAUCCUUUGAAGUGAACCUGCGUGCGGUCAUCCAGGUGUCACAGAUCGUGGCCAGGG